UUGGGCUACGGUGACAUGUACCCAGAGACGUGGUCCGGGAUGCUGGUGGGUGCUCUGUGUGCCCUGGCUGGUGUGCUGACCAUUGCCAUGCCCGUUCCAGUCAUUGUCAACAAC
rfam:Astyanax mexicanus chromosome 11, whole genome shotgun sequence.